UACGAAGGGGGCUAGCGUUGUUCGGAAUUACUGGGCGUAAAGCGUGCGUAGGUGGUUCGUUAAGUCUGAUGUGAAAGCCCUGGGCUCAACCUGGGAAUGGCAUUGGAAACUGGCGACCUAGAGUGCGGUAGAGGGCAGUGGAAUUCCCGGUGUAGCAGUGAAAUGCGUAGAGAUCGGGAGGAACAUCUGUGGCGAAGGCGACUGCCUGGACCAGCACUGACACUGAGGCACGAAAGCGUGGGGAGCAAACAGG
rnacentral:rRNA from 1 species